AUGGCAGCCGAGAGGCGUCCAGACCCAACAUGCCCCAUUUGCCUUGAUUGCAUGAGUGACUCAGCUUAUCCAGACUGCUGUGUCCAUACGUUUUGUUUCACCUGCAUCAAGAAGUGGAGUACUAACUCACCUCAGUGCCCUCUCUGCAGAAGGCUGAUUAACUGGAUCUUCCAAACCAAGACGAAGACCAAGUGGGCUGUGGUCAGGUCGAAUCGUGUCAGUAGCCCUUCAGUGACCUCCACGGUGAGCAGGCAGGAUAACAGGACAAGGGUGGAAGACGACACUGUGAGUAGGCAGUCAGAGGAUGAUGAAACCCCCAGCUCUUCCUCUGCAGCCAGGGUGCUCCCGGUCUCUAAUGAGAGAUCAGAGUCGGGCCAGAGAGGCGGCACUUCCGCCGAGCAGGAGGAGAACCAUGUCUCUUCGGGGUACGCAGCGCCCAGAGCCGAGCGGAGACCAGAGCUGUCUUCAGCGUCCUCAAGAGAGCGCACACGCAGCAUUCGUGGCCUGAGCUGGAGAGCGAGGAGCACAAGGAGAUUUCGAUACCACACUCUAUCUCAAUCGCUGUCCAACAGGCGCGUUGGUUCACUGACAUACCAACAGCGGCGGGUGCCUCACGUAUCUUUUCGGAGCAGAUCUGACUGGAGGAGAUGGAGCCGAAGUCCCAGGGAAACAGUGCAAGAGAACCGGGCCGCAGAGUUGAGCCACAGUGCCCAGACAGAGCCACAGGCUCAGAUUGCUGUGACCCCUUCUGAAAACAGGAGCAAUCCUUCGAUACAUCCUGUGUUGUCCACACAUGUUGGCUCUAGAAUCGAGGAAGAAAGCACUACAAGUGAGGUGUCAGUGGAUGAUGAAACACCAAGCUCUUUUUCCUCAGCUAGGGAGCUCCCAGUCUCUAAUGAGAGAUCAGACCAAAGACAGGGCACCUUCGCUGAAGAGGAGGGCCGCACCGUUACGGGCUCUGUCGAACCUAUAGGUGAGCAAACACCAGAGCUGGCUUCAGAGACUGAAGGAGAACAUGUACAGCUACAAAAUGAACCAGAGCUGCGAUGGAGACCACGGGGUGCAAGGAGGCUUCGAUACCAGUGUCCGUCCCACUCGCUCUCCAACUGGCGUAUCAGUGCCCUGCCAUACCACCAGCGGCGGAUGGAGCCCUUGAAUUUUAGGGAAAGAUCUGACCUGACGAGAUGGAGCCAAAACCCCAGAGAAACAGUCCAUGGGAACCAGGCUGUGGAGGUGAGGCAGGAUUCGCAAACUGAGAGAGAGACUCAGUUCACUGUGGGCCCCUCUGAAGAGAUCAACAGUUCUUUGGUGUGGUCUCCAUUGUCCUCACAAGAUGACUGGACAAGAGAGGAAGGAAACAUUGCAAGGGAUGUGCCAGGGGAUGGUGAGACGCCCAGCUGUUCUUCCUCAGCCAGGACUCAUCUCAUCUUUGAUGAGAGAUCCGAGUCAGGCCAGAGGGAAGGUGUCUCUGCUGAGGAGGACCGCGUCAUUGUGGGCUAUGCUGAGCCCGUAGCUGAAUGGACACCGGGGCUAGAUUCAGAGUCGGGAGGAGAGCGUGUACAGUUUCACAACCUCCAAGACCUGAGUUGGAGAACAGGGAGUGUGAGGAGUAUGAGGUACACAAGUAGAUUUCAAUAUUGUUCCCCAUCCCAGUUGCUCUCCAAUGUACGCAGUGGGUCCUUGCAAAAUCACCAAUGGCAGAUGCGUCACACGUGGUUUAGAGACAGGUCUCACUGGAGGAGUUGCAGCCAAAGUCCCAGUGAAACAGUUCAGGGGAACCAGGCUGCUGAGAUGAGCCGGAGUGCCCAAAGAGGUAGGGGGACUCCGUUUGUUGUGGCCCAAUGUGAACACAUUAGUAGUCCUUCAGCCCGGUCUCUGUCACAUACGCAUGAUGGCUGGAUGACGGAGGAAGAAGACACUGUGAGGGAUGUGUCAGGGGAUGAAGAGAGACCUGGCCCUUCUUCCUAG
rnacentral:lncRNA from 1 species